rnacentral:rRNA from 1 species
CAAUAGCGUAUAUUAAAGUUGUUGCAGUUAAAAAGUUCGUAGUUGGAUUUCGGACUGGGAUCGGUCGGUCGGCCGCGAGGUCUGUUCACUGAUCGGUCCUGUCUUCUUCUCAGAGUCGCGUCGUGUACUUGACUGUGCGCGGCGUCCGAAUUUGAGACGUUUACUUUGAAAAAAUUAGAGUGUUCAAAGCAGGCUACACACGCCCGAAUACAUGAGCAUGGAAUAAUGGAAUAGGACUUUGGUCUUAUUUUGUUGGUUUCUGAGACCGAAGUAAUGAUUAAGAGGGACAAUUGGGGGCAUCCGUAUUUCGUUGUCAGAGGUGAAAUUCUUGGAUUUACGAAAGACGAACAACUGCGAAAGCAUUUGCCAAGAGUGUUUUCAUUAA